UCAUGAAAAUGGGGCUUAAGCUUGAAAGGGUACCUUAAGGCAGCCAUGUUCUCUAGGCUUAUGUCUACUGCUUUAAGAACGCGUAUUCGGAUCAGCUGAGUGUUUGUUGUGACAGUUAAUUUAAAGAAUGAUUGUUAUAUUAUAAUGUUGUUUGCAGAUGCUGGGGACUUUUAGCAAUGAAGGUAGAAAAUCAAAAAAAUUUAUGCGGGUGGAAUAUAGCGGUGAUUAUACCGUCAGACGUGACAUCUCCCUCCUUAGGGAAGUUCGGUCCCCGAACUUUUAUUAGAUUCUAAAGUGUGCCUGGCAGUGUAAGAGCUGUGUUGCUGUAGUUGGAUUUAUCUAAAUCGAGAGCUGGUUAUCUAUACUGUCACCGUGAUUUCGUUGGACGGAUAUGAUAAGGAUAAAUUAAAAGUGAGAAGAGGUAAUAGUGAGCUGAGACUGAAUUAAUAAGGAUAAAGGAUAAGUAUUUCAAUCUUAUUUUAUAAUCUUAUGAAUAUAUAUAUAUAUGAAUAAGAAUAUUAAUGUAUUUUCUUU